rnacentral:lncRNA from 1 species
CAAAAUUCAUCUCCCUCUUUCAUGGGAGGACAAGGAUCACCACAAAUGCAAAGUGCAGCAUAUGCUCCUAGCUCCAUGUCGCAGCAGUCUUCAUCACCUUCUUUCAUGGGAGGACAAGGAUCACCACAAAUGCAAAGUGCAGCAUAUUCUCCUAGCUCCAUGUCGCAACAAUCUUCAUCACCUUCUUUCAUGGGAGGACAAGGAUCCUCACAAAUGCAAGGCCAGCAGUCAGUGCCUAAUCCUAGCUGGCAACAAGCUUCACCACCUUCUUUCAUGGGAGGACAAGGAU